UCUAAGUAUAAGCAAUUUAUACAGUGAAACUGCGAAUGGCUCAUUAAAUCAGUUAUCGUUUAUUUGAUAGUUCCUUUACUACAUGGUAUAACUGUGGUAAUUCUAGAGCUAAUACAUGCUUAAAAUCUCGACCCUUUGGAAGAGAUGUAUUUAUUAGAUAAAAAAUCAAUGUCUUCGGACUCUUUGAUGAUUCAUAAUAACUUUUCGAAUCGCAUGGCCUUGUGCUGGCGAUGGUUCAUUCAAAUUUCUGCCCUAUCAACUUUCGAUGGUAGGAUAGUGGCCUACCAUGGUUUCAACGGGUAACGGGGAAUAAGGGUUCGAUUCCGGAGAGGGAGCCUGAGAAACGGCUACCACAUCCAAGGAAGGCAGCAGGCGCGCAAAUUACCCAAUCCUAAUUCAGGGAGGUAGUGACAAUAAAUAACGAUACAGGGCCCAUUCGGGUCUUGUAAUUGGAAUGAGUACAAUGUAAAUACCUUAACGAGGAACAAUUGGAGGGCAAGUCUGGUGCCAGCAGCCGCGGUAAUUCCAGCUCCAAUAGCGUAUAUUAAAGUUGUUGCAGUUAAAAAGCUCGUAGUUGAACUUUGGGCCCGGUUGGCCGGUCCGAUUUUUUCGUGUACUGGAUUUCCAACGGGGCCUUUCCUUCUGGCUAACCUUGAGUCCUUGUGGCUCUUGGCGAACCAGGACUUUUACUUUGAAAAAAUUAGAGUGUUCAAAGCAGGCGUAUUGCUCGAAUAUAUUAGCAUGGAAUAAUAGAAUAGGACGUUUGGUUCUAUUUUGUUGGUUUCUAGGACCAUCGUAAUGAUUAAUAGGGACGGUCGGGGGCAUCAGUAUUCAAUUGUCAGAGGUGAAAUUCUUGGAUUUAUUGAAGACUAACUACUGCGAAAGCAUUUGCCAAGGACGUUUUCAUUAAUCAAGAACGAAAGUUAGGGGAUCGAAGAUGAUCAGAUACCGUCGUAGUCUUAACCAUAAACUAUGCCGACUAGGGAUCGGGUGGUGUUUUUUAAUGACCACUCGGCCCUUACGAAAAAUCAAAGUCUUUGGGUCUGGGGGGAAUAUGGUCGCAAGGUGAACUAGAUGUUUUG
rnacentral:rRNA from 1 species